rnacentral:rRNA from 1 species
AUGGCUCCUACCGAGGCUGAGGAUGAUGUAGAGGAGGGAGAAGAGAAGAAGAAGAGGGAAAGGAAGGCAGCCGGAGCUGCUUUCACGUGGAUUCAAAAUAACUUUGCGACGUGCCCUCCGGAUGCAACUGAUGAUGUGAUCCAGACACAUGCUCGUGUGUAUAUGUGGUACAUUGUGUCGAGGACUUUGUUUCCUGACUCCACUGGCAAGAACGCUCCAUGGAUGUGGCUGAAGGCGUUGACCAUCUUCGAUAGCAAAUGGAGCUGGGGUUCAGCGACUCUUGCCUACUUGUACCGACAGGUAGUUGGUCUGUUUUGUGAUCAACUCAUUUAUUCAUUAGCAAUGCAAGCUUGCUGUCAAGUUAACAGUGUUUUUCUUUCAUAUGUAGCUGGAUGA